rnacentral:rRNA from 1 species
ACUCCUACGGGAGGCAGCAGUAAGGAAUAUUGGUCAAUGGACGGAAGUCUGAACUAGCCAUGCCGCGUGCAGGAAGACGGUCCUCUGGAUUGUAAACUGCUUUUGUUAGGGAAGAAACUUCCGUACGUGUACGGGACUGACGGUACCUAAAGAAUAAGGAUCGGCUAACUCCGUGCCAGCAGCCGCGGUAAU